rnacentral:rRNA from 1 species
AAUCAACGCUGGCGGCGUGCCUAACACAUGCAAGUCGAACGCGAAAGUCCCGCAAGGGGUGAGUAGCGUGGCGAACGGGUGAGUAACGCGUGGGUGACCUGCCGUCGAGUGGGGGAUAACGUCUCGAAAAGGGACGCUAAUACCGCAUGACAUCCGGCCUUUGGAGAGGCGGAGAUCAAAGCUGGGGAUCGCAAGACCUGGCGCUCGACGAGGGGCCCGCGUCCGAUUAGCUGGNGGUGGGGUAAUGGCCUACCAAAGGCGACGAUCGGUAGCCGGCCUAAGAGGGCGGACGGCCACACUGGGACUGAGACACGGCCCAGACUCCUACGGGAGGCAGCAGUGGGGAAUUGUUCGCAAUGGGCGCAAGCCUGACGACGCAAACGCCGCGUGGAGGACGAAAGGGCUUUUCGGGUCGUAAAACUCCUGUCGUGCGGGACGAAUGCUCCCUGGGUGAACAUCCGUGGGGGGGUGACGGUACCGCGAAAGGAAGCCCCGGCUAACUCCGUGCCAGCAGCCGCCGCAGUAA